UGGGGAAUCUUGCGCAAUGGGCGGAAGCCUGACGCAGCAACGCCGCGUGCGGGAGGAAGGCCUUCGUGGUUGUAAACCGCUUUCAGCAGGGACGAAGCUUCCGAGGUUAAUAGCCUACGGGGUGACGGUACCUGCAGAAGAAGCCCCGGCUAACUACGUGCCAGCAGCCGCGGUAAUACGUAGGGGGCGAGCGUUGUCCGGAUUUAUUGGGCGUAAAGAGCGUGUAGGUGGCUAGGUAGGUCUCGCGUCAAAACCUGCGGCUCAACCGCAGUUCGCGUGGGAAACCACCUGGCUUGAGUCCGGAAGAGGAGAGCGGAAUUCAUGGUGUAGCGGUGAAAUGCGCAGAUAUCAUGAAGAACACCAGUGGCGAAGGCGGCUCUCUGGGACGGUACUGACACUGAGACGCGAAAGCGUGGGGAGCGAACAGGAUUAGAUACCCCCGUAGUCC
rnacentral:rRNA from 1 species